rnacentral:lncRNA from 1 species
CCCACGUAGGAUGUCAGGGCCUGCCCCCUGGGUCCUGACUCCCAGUCUGGGGCUCUGCCUCUGCCUCUCCAAGCUCGCCUACAGCGGAAAGCAGGGGUGCUGUUCUAGGCGCUGAGGAUGCAGCCGUGCACAAGACGGAUGAAAUCCCUGCCCUCAGGGGGCCGACAUUUGCGGAGUAAAUAAAGGAAAGGCCAACAUGAACAGCUGAUUUGGAUACCAUCAAGACACCUGAAAUUUUAGCAUGAGCCAGAUGCCAAGGAAGAGACUCCGGGAGGAUCCUGAGGACCCCCCGGUUGCAGCCAUGUCGAGGCUGAUGCUGAGGAGGACCCCAACUGUCACGAGAAACACCCGUCGAACACAGCCACCCAGCUGGAGACAGAUCAAGAAGCUGUCACAGAUGAUGGAAGAAAACCUGAGGAAAGCGGGACAACCACUCAGAAUGAGUAAUGGUAGCUAUGAUAGUGGUAAUCACCAUUGCCGUGAGUAUUCCUUAAAGAAGGGCUGACACAGAGAACAAUUAUACUUAUUAGGCAUAUUCAUCAAUCUUGGCUGGCAAUAAUGCCUGGAUGUAAUCACUCUAUGACACAGUUACAUGUGCUUUCUGAUCUCAGUAUUUACCAUAACAAAUCUCCUCCUAUAAUUGAGGCAUACUGCCCUCAAAAACCUAUCUGUAACAAAAUUGAACCUGGCCAGAAAAAAUGAACAUACUUGUUUAGGAAGAUUGCAUUGCAGAACAGGCAGAGGUGCUGCACAACGAUUCCUAUGGAAUCAUUAUUAAUUGGUCCCCUAAAGGGAUGUUUAGCUUAAAUUGCACCAACAGGCCCCCCCGCAAAACCUGGCCAUAAACUGGCCCCGAAACUGACCAUGAACAAUAUCUCUGUGGCACUGUGACAUGUUCAUGAUGGCCAUGACGCCCACGCUGGAAGGUUGUGGGUUUACUGGAAUGAGGGCAAGGAACACCUUGCCCACCCAGGGCGGAAAACCACUUAAAGGCGUUUUUAAACCACAAACAACCGCAUGAGUGAUCUGUGCCUUAAGGACAUGCUCCUGCUGCAGAUAAGUAGCCAUACCCAUGCCUUUAUUUCAGCCCAUCCCUUUGCUUCCCAUAAGGGAUACUUUUAGUUAAUCUAAAAUCUAUAGAAACAAUGCUAAUGUUAAUAAAUACGUGGGUAAAUCUCUGUUUGAGGCUCUCAGCUCUGAAGGCUGUGAGACCCCUGAUUUCCCACUUCACACUUCUAUAUUUCUGUGUCUUUAAUUCCUCUAGCACCGCUGGGUUAGAGUUUCCCUGACUGAGCUGGUCUUGGCAUGAUUCUCCUGCCUCAGCCUCCCAAAUAGCUGGGAUUACAGGCAUGCACCACCAUGCCUUGUUAAUUUUUGUGUUUUUAGUAGAGAUGGGGUUUUACCAUGUUAGCCAGGCUGGUCUCGAACUCCUAGCUUCAAGAGAUCUUCCUGCCUCGGCCUCCCAAAGUGCUGGGAUUACAGGCAUGAGCCACUGUGCCCAGCCUGUUUUUAAUUUUUAUUUUCAAUUAAAAAAAUGUUUAUUGAGACAGAGUCUCACUCUGUCACCCAGGCUGGAGUGCAGUAGAGCAAUAAUGGCUCACUGCCACCUCGAACUCCCAGACUCAAACGAUCCUCCCA